GAUGAAGAACGCAGCGAAAUGCGAAAAGUAAUGUAAAUUGCAGAAUUCAGUGAAUCAUCGAAUCUUUGAACGCACAUUGCGCCCGCCAGUAUUCUGGCGGGCAUGCCUGUCUGAGCGUCAUUUCAACCCUCACGCCCCUAGGGCGUGGUGUUGGGGAUCGGCCAAGGCCCGCAAGGGACGGCCGGCCCCUAAAUCUAGUGGCGGACCCAUCGUGGCCUCCCCUGCGAAGUAGUAAUAUAUUCCGCAUCGGAUAGCGAUGAGCCCCUGCCGUUAAACCCCCAACUCUUUCAAGGUUGACCUCAGAUCAGGUAGGAAUACCCGCUGAACUUAAGCAUAUCAAUAAGCGGAGGA
rnacentral:misc_RNA from 1 species